rnacentral:sRNA from 1 species
GUAGUCAUGAACCAGCUGGCUUCUGUAUCUCUCACCAAUCACAGGAAGAUGAGAGACUGCUUAGGCGCCACCACUAGUACCAUGAGUCCCUGCACUGGUUAAAGCCAUCGCCACAACCUGGACAGGCAGCAAGGUCUCAGUCAGUCUCUCCACCUCCAGUUCUCUCCCCACCAAGGAGUCCCAUCUACCCGCUCAGUGAUAGUGAAACCUCAGCCUGCAGGUACCCCAGCCACUCCAGCUCCCGGGUGCUCCUCAAGGACCGGCACCCCCCAGCUCCUUCACCCCAGAAUCCUCAAGAUCCCUCCCCAGAUACUUCCCCACCCACCUGUCCCUUCAAGACCGCCAGCUUCGGUUAUUUGGACAGAAGCCCUUCGGCGUGCAAGAGAGAAGCCCAAAAGGAAAGUGUCCAAGGCGCAGCCCAGGAUGUAGCAGGGGUAGCUGCCUGCCUCCCCCUUGCCCAGAGCACGCCAUUCCCGGGGGCAGCAGCUGGCCCCCGGGGCGUCUUGCUGACCCGUACCGGUACCCGCGCCCACAG